CCUACCCAAAGUCAGCUAAUAAGCUCCUCUACAAGCUGGGGAUAUAAGAAGAUGUCCACACUCCUCACCAAAUGCUUUACUAGAAAACAGAAAUAAAUUCUCCACGCCUCAUAUCCUUACAUGGUGAAAGCAGGAAAAUCCUGUUGCAGAAACCACUUGGAGGAGCUGCCAUCAAAGGCUGCUUGGGGCCAGCUUCCCUCCAGCACAGAGCUCUGCGCAGAGCCUGCAUGUGGUGUGGAAUUCUAUUAGAACUUACUCACCAUAUGUUUGUUUGCUGGUGUUCAGUGGAACCUGAGGGAGGGCAUAAUGGAUCUCCGUUACUAAACUGUGUGGAAGGCUUCCAGAGAUUUAAUAGUCUACCUCGAGGUGAUGAAUAGAGGGGCUCUUGUAUGCCUUGCAUAAUCAGGGAGCCUUGGUGCUCUGAAUGCGCCACGCUCUCCUCCAACACCCUUCUGGAAAAGUCUGUACAGCUGGCACUCCUGGAGGCAUUUCAAAAGUGGAGAUGGGUGGGGAGGGUGCCUUCCUCUCAUCUUCCCUGAGAAAAGAUUUGCGGGAUGAGAUUGCACUGAUAGCUGGAGAUUUUGAGUAGAAGGAAAUAGGCUAGAGGAGUGGAGAGGAGAGGGAAGGCAUUCGGUGACCUGGAUUUCCCUCCUUGCAGCUGUAGUGGUCUGAUCAUUCUACCAAGGCCAUGACUGUGAAGAGCACUGUGGGUGAUGGCUGGUGGCUCACCGGAGCCGGCUUGUGCACGGCGCCCGAAGCCAAAGAAAUCUGAAGACCCGACCUUACUAUUGGCAAAGACAGACAAACACUCUACAAAUAGUGCUUGAAAAAUGCCACUGUUUGGUUCAGAUGGUGAAGAGGAACUCAGGAAGGCCUGGCAGUCUCUAGGAGGCUAGGGCAGUGGUUCUCAAAUGAUAGGGUGUACAGAAAUUCCCUGGAGGACUUGUGACAACAAAGAUUGCUAGGCCUACUCCCAGGGUUUCUAAUUCAGCAGGUCUGGGGAUGGAGCUCAAGUAUCUGCAUUUCUAACAAGUCCCCGGUGGUGCUGAUGCUGCUUGCAUGGACCAGUUUUGAGAACCAUACUUGGAGAAACACUUGGUUAGGAAAACUAUGUCUGUUACAGAUUGAUCAAAGGGCUCUUAAGUUCCUUUUGUACAAUAAAUCACUGCGAUAUCAAAUGAGGUAAAUGAACAUGCUCUUUGAACUCUUAACUUCUAGACCAAUAUAAAACAUUCUAAAUAUGAAAUGGAAACAUUUACAAUUGUUAUUGAUUCUCAUCAAUGCAAUGUUCAAUAAAGAUAAGAAUCACGUUUUCAGUCUCCACUCUUGAUUUUCUGCUUUGAUAUGGAUUUUUAGUUUUGCUUUCUUCUGAUAUGCUGGG
rnacentral:lncRNA from 10 species